CCGCAGAAUGAGCUCCACACAACGUCAGCAAGUAUGCAGCCCCCAGCCCCGGUGAUCCACAUAACACCCCUCCGUCCCGUCUGAACCCGAAGCACCGGUGCUAGCGAACUGGGACUCCAGGCAAUGGCCCCUUACGUGAUGCUGUUCUGGUGCAGUGUCUCCAGGGCGGUGUUGCGGUCCUCCGUGGUGGCCCUCUUGUCCAUGUUGCGGAAGCGCUCCAUGGCC